CGAGCCUAGAACAUGUUUUAAAUUCGUUAAUAAAGGUUGUUCUAAGCAGUUUCAAUUGGAGCCAAAUGAUACAGAUCCUUUAGAA
rnacentral:lncRNA from 1 species